GAGACAAAGAAGUGAUUAGGAGCCAAGCGGAGAAGAGGGUUAUUAAAGCAACGAGGCAGGCCCAAAGCCGGGCCCACCACUGGAGCAGUCACACACACACACACACACACACACACACACACACACACACACACACACAGUGGGACUGCAGUCAAGUCAGUCAGUCAGUCAGUGCAAAGAGGAUACUGCCAUCUGGUGGUUACUGCAGGUUAAUCAUUUUUAACAUUUAUUUUAACUAGGCAAGUCAGUUAAAAGAACAAAUUCUUAUUUACAAUGGACGGACUACCCCGGCCAAACCCGGACGACGCUGGGCCAAUUGUGCGCCACCCUAUGGGACUCCUGAUCACGGCGCCAGAUGUGAUACAGCCUGGAUUCGAACCAGGGACUGUAGUGAAGCCUCUUGCACCGAGAUGCAGUGCCUUAGGCCACUCCGGUAAUUAAUCAUUCAAAUAUGCAGGGAAUUAAUUUAUAUGAACUGAACUCCUCUUAAAUAAUAAAGUAAUUAAUUAAAUCAGAACCUGAAGGAACUAGAAGCACAGGCAUUUCACUACACUCGCACUAACAUCUGCUAACCAUGUGUAUGUGACAAAUAAAAUUUGAUUUGAUUUGAAAUGUAUCUUUCAAAGAAAAUUAAACUGAAUGGUACCAGAGCAUUGGCUCUGGGAUUACAAUCUUAUGGCUAGGAGGGUAAAAGUUAAAUAUUCAGAAAACUGCUAAAUAGUUCAUUGGUUACUCAGACUAUCUGCACACUCACAAGACCAUAAACUCAGUGGCCAGUUUAUUAGGUACACCCAUCUAGCACUGGGUCGGACACCCCUUUGCAUCCAGUACAGCCUGAAUUCUUCGGGGUAUGGAAACAUUGCUCAAUUGGUAUCAAGGGACCUAACGUGUGCCCACCAGCCUGUACCGUUGACACCAGCCAGGAUGGAGCCACGGACUCAUGCUGCUUACACAAAAUCUUGACUCUGCCAUCAGCUUGACACAAAAGGAACUAGGAUUCGUCAGACCAGGCAAUAUUUUUCCACUCUUCUGUCCAGUGUUGGUGAUGGCGUGUCCGACUAGACCUGCUUCUUCUUGUUUGUAGAGGAUAGUAGUGGAACCAGGUGUGGUCGUCUGCUGCAAUAGCCAAUCCCGUGACAAGGACCGAUGCCGUUCUGCACACCACUGUUGGAGGUCAGCUCUCCGGGAACAGGGUUGGAGUUAAAACCUACAGGAGGUCAGCUCUCCGGGAACAGGGUUGGAGUUAAAACCUACAGGAGGUCAGCUCUCCGGGAACAGGGUUGGAGUUAAAACCUACAGGAGGUCAGCUCUCCGGGAACAGGGUUGGAGUUAAAACCUACAGGAGGUCAGCUCUCCGGGAACAGGGUUGGAGUUAAAACCUACAGGAGGUCAGCUCUCCAGGAACAGGGUUGGAGUGAAAACCUAAAGGAGGCUAGGUCUCCAGGAACAGGGUUGGAGUUAAAACCUACAGGAGGUCAGCUCUCCAGGAACAGGGUUGGAGUUAAAACCUACAGGAGGUCAGCUCUCCAGGAACAGGGUUGGAGUUAAAACCUACAGGAGGUCAGCUCUCCGGGAACAGGGUUGGAGUUAAAACCUACAGGAGGUCAGCUCUCCAGGAACAGGGUUGGAGUGAAAACCUAAAGGAGGCUAGGUCUCCAGGAACAGGGUUGGAGUUAAAACCUACAGGAGGUCAGCUCUCCAGGAACAGGGUUGGAGUUAAAACCUACAGGAGGUCAGCUCUCCAGGAACAGGGUUGGAGUUAAAACCUACAGGAGGUCAGCUCUCCGGGAACAGGGUUGGAGUUAAAACCUACAGGAGGUCAGCUCUCCAGGAACAGGGUUGGAGUUAAAACCUACAGGAGGUCAGCUCUCCGGGAACAGGGUUGGAGUUAAAACCUACAGGAGGUCAGCUCUCCGGGAACAGGGUUGGAGUUAAAACCUACAGGAGGUCAGCUCUCCAGGAACAGGGUUGGAGUUAAAACCUACAGGAGGUCAGCUCUCCGGGAACAGGGUUGGAGUUAAAACCUACAGGAGGUCAGCUCUCCAGGAACAGGGUUGGAGUUAAAACCUACAGGAGGUCAGCUCUCCGGGAACAGGGUUGGAGUUAAAACCUACAGGAGGUCAGCUCUCCGGGAACAGGGUUGGAGUUAAAACCUACAGGAGGUCAGCUCUCCAGGAACAGGGUUGGAGUUAAAACCUACAGGAGGUCAGCUCUCCAGGAACAGGGUUGGAGUUAAAACCUACAGGAGGUCAGCUCUCCAGGAACAGGGUUGGAGUUAAAACCUACAGGAGGUCAGCUCUCCAGGAACAGGGUUGGAGUUAAAACCUACAGGAGGUCAGCUCUCCAGGAACAGGGUUGGAGUUAAAACCUACAGGAGGUCAGCUCUCCAGGAACAGGGUUGGAGUUAAAACCUACAGGAGGUCAGCUCUCCAGGAACAGGGUUGGAGUUAAAACCUACAGGAGGUCAGCUCUCCAGGAACAGGGUUGGAGUUAAAACCUACAGGAGGUCAGCUCUCCAGGAACAGGGUUGGAGUUAAAACCUACAGGAGGUCAGCUCUCCAGGAACAGGGUUGGAGUUAAAACCUACAGGAGGUCAGCUCUCCAGGAACAGGGUUGGAGUUAAAACCUACAGGAGGUCAGCUCUCCAGGAACAGGGUUGGAGUUAAAACCUACAGGAGGUCAGCUCUCCAGGAACAGGGUUGGAGUUAAAACCUACAGGAGGUCAGCUCUCCAGGAACAGGGUUGGAGUUAAAACCUACAGGAGGUCAGCUCUCCAGGAACAGGGUUGGAGUGAAAACCUACAGGAGGCUAGCUCUCCAGGAACAGGGUUGGAGUUAAAACCUACAGGAGGUCAGCUCUCCAGGAACAGGGUUGGAGUUAAAACCUACAGGAGGUCAGCUCUCCAGGAACAGGGUUGGAGUGAAAACCUACAGGAGGCUAGCUCUCCAGGAACAGGGUUGGAGUGAAAACCUACAGGAGGCUAGCUCUCCAGGAACAGGGUUGGAGUGAAAACCUACAGGAGGCUAGCUCUCCAGGAACAGGGUUGGAGUUAAAACCUACAGUAGGCGAGCUCUCCAGGAACAGGGUUGGAGUGAAAACCUACAGGAGGCUAGCUC